rnacentral:lncRNA from 1 species
AAUGAAACAGGAGAGUUCCCUGAUUUCCUCCCGGCCCCCGCCCUCCCACAGCCCUUUGCAGGACGUGCAACAGGGUUGUGGCUCGUGUGUUCGGUCUCUGCCUGCUGAAACCCCUUAUGGGAGGUGGAGCAUGCAGACGGACGGGUGCAGGAGCCAGGGUGCAAAAGCUGGGGCGCUGGGCUUCCAGCCCCACGGCAGUGUCCAGGGGCAGGAUCCCGUGAUUCCCGGAGCCCAAAUGGGCGUGUGUUACAGUGUGCUCUUUUAGCCUUACCAUCAGCUGACGGCUUAAGUGUUAACCAGCUCAAUAGACCCUCUGCCUUUUUGCAAGCGCAGAGGGUCAGUGUGACAGUUUCUGUAUCUCAGCUCUUGUCUCACCUCCCAGAAGAAUCAGGUCACACAUGGACUUGAAGGAUGAACACCAGAGACUGGGUAAUUAAUAAAAAGAAGAAAUUGAUCUGGCCUACAGUUCUGGAGCCUUGGAAGUCCGAGAUCAAGGAGCUGCAUCUGGAAAACACAGAUCCUGGUGCCGAACAUGAGGACAGGGCAGGCCGAAGGAGAAAGUGGAAGGAGGGGAGCUUCUCUCUCAGCCUCAUCCUUCUGGGCCUGGAUGCUGGAGAGUCAUGAGGUGCUUCAGAGUACUCUGGGUGAGGAGGGAAAGAUGGUGCCCACCACAUGGAGGCCAGCCUAGGUCUUGUAUGAAACCUGUGAGGAGAUUCUCUCUCCCUUGCUGUCUUUGAAAAAGCAAGUUGCCAUGUGAAGAGGGCCAUAUAGCAUAGGAGCUGAAGGCAGCCUCCAACUGACGGCAAGAAAAUGAGGUCCUCAGUCUGACAACCUGCAAGAAACUGAAUGUUCUAAAAGCCACAUGAGCUUGGGAGCAGAUCUGACCCCAGCCAAAUCUCUGAAGUCCGCAGGCAGGAAAUGAAGAUCAGAAAAAGGCUAUUGUCUCAUGAAUAUGAGCCAGACUCCACAGAAGCUGGAGUCCUUCAUUAUGGAGCUAAACACAUACACCUGGCUUAGGAGUCAGAAAAACUGAAAGAGAAUUCAGGGAAGUAGAGAAAUUGCAAGCCCAGAUGCUGCUUCAUACCAAAGAAGCAAGUCAGCAGGUCAGCAACAAUGUGUAUCAGUUCCAAAAUGACUUACACAGGUACCAAGACAAGACAUUAUAUACACUUAUAUAGUCAAAUACUUUAAAACUGUUAACAAACUUGCUACAAUUGUCUCAUUUGUCUUUUAACCUUAAUAUCACAGAUCAAGUUUGUAAUCUCAAAAGUUCACCCUGGCUGCUGUGUGGAGUAUUCUCUUAUCUGCUCAUAUUACACUGUGCUUAUUCAUUCAUCAGUUAAUGGAAAUUUGGGUUGUUUCCUGAUUUUGACUGUAAUGAAUAAUGUUGCUGUAAACAUUCAUGUACAGUUUUGUGUGGACAUGCUUUUCUUUCUCUUGGGUAGGUUCCUAUGAGUGGAAUCACUAGAUUGUAUGGUAAAUGUAUGUUUAACUUUUAAAGAAACUGUCAAACUGUUUUCUAACAUGAACGGGCCAUUUUACGUUCUUAUCAACAAUAUAUGAUGGUUUCAAUUUUCCCACAUCCUCACCAACAUUUGGUAUUGUCUCUCUUUUACAUCAUAACUAUUUUAGUGGGGAUGUAGUGAUAUCUUAUCGUGGUUUUAAUUUGUGUCUCCCUAAUGACUAAUGAUAUUGUGCAUCUUUGCAUAUGCUUGUUAGCCAUUUAUGUACAUUCUUUAGUGAAAUGGCUAUUCAAAUCUUCUGCCCAUUUAAAAAUCGAGUUGUUUUUCUUAUUAUUCAGUUGUAAGAGUUUUUUCUUUAUUCUGUGCAAAAGUCCUUUAUCAAGUCUAGGAUUUUUGAAUAUUUUCUCAACCUAGAGCUUGUUUUUCAACAUUUUUUUCUUAAUGAUCUUUUGAAGUGCAAAAGUUUGAUUUUGAUGAAGUCUAAUGUAUCACUUCUUCCUUUAACUGUCAUGAUUUUUGUGUCGUAUCUAAGAACUCUUUACCCAACUCAAAGUUACCAAGGUAUUUUCUUCCAGAAGUUUUGCAGUUUUAACUCUUCUAUAUAGGCCUGUGAUCCAUUUUUAAUUCAUUUUUUGCAUAUGAUGUGAGAGAAGGGCCUAAGUUCAUAUUCGUACAUGUGGAUGUACAAUGGUUCCAGGAUCACUUGCUGAGAAAAGACUAUCCUUUCCCCAUUGAUUUUUUUGGCACCUGUGUCAAAAAUCAAUUGACCAUAAAUGCAAGCGUUUAUAUCUGAACUCUCAGUUCUUCUCCAUUCAUCUCUAAGGAUAUGUCUAUGCUUACAUCAAUAUCACAGUGUAUUCAUGUGGCUUUGUAGUAAAUUUUGAAAUUGGGUGAUA